rnacentral:rRNA from 1 species
UACGUAGGGGGCAAGCGUUGUCCGGAAUCAUUGGGCGUAAAGCGCGUGUAGGCGGCUUGGUAAGUCCGCUCUGAAAGCCCGGGGCUCAACCCCGGGAGGCGGGUGGAUACUGUCAAGCUCGAGUCCGGAAGAGGCGAGUGGAAUUCCUGGUGUAGCGGUGAAAUGCGCAGAUAUCAGGAGGAACACCAAUGGCGAAGGCAGCUCGCUGGGACGUGACUGACGCUGAGACGCGAAAGCUAGGGGAGCGAACGGG